rnacentral:rRNA from 1 species
UACGUAGGGUGCAGGCGUUAAUCGGAAUUACUGGGCGUAAAGCGUGCGCAGGCGGCUCCUUAAGUCAGAUGUGAAAGCCCCGGGCUUAACCUGGGAACUGCGUUUGAAACUGGGGGGCUAGAGUGUGGAAGAGGGGGGUGGAAUUCCAGGCGUAGCAGUGAAAUGCGUAGAGAUCUGGAGGAACACCGAUGGCGAAGGCAGCCCCCUGGGCUAACACUGACGCUCAUGCACGAAAGCGUGGGGAGCAAACAGG